AGCAGCAGAAAAACAGAACAAAAGGGGUGGAUAGACGAAGCAACAACAACCAGCCAACAACAGCAGAACAAGUAAUUGAUAAACAGAACUUGAUCUCUUCAUUGAUAAAAAAUGAACAUUACAUAGACCCACUUUUACUUAACCAUCCACUACAAUUUCUUCACUAAUUUCUUCACUACAAUAAGAAACCAUAAAAUCAGUGCAACAAUAGUUAGAACCACAAUGACUUGAACCAAAUUUUUUUCACUUGAACCAACAAUAAAAUNNNNNNNNNNNNNNNNNNNNNNNNUCCAGGCAGUACACAGAGGUGAAAGAACACUACAAUUUUCAUGUCACACGAGCUAUUAAAAACGCGAGACGAAUUGACACAACUCUUCGACAUUCUGCUACACGACCUUCAAACAAUACACACGAAGAAAAUUAAAUUUAGGGUUCGAACUAUACCCACAAAAUUGAAGGCAACGAGUUAAACAUGGAAGAAGAUAGUUAAAAUUGAUCGAUUUGAGAGGGGAAGAAGAAAAAUAUGAUAAUCUGAGAUG
rnacentral:lncRNA from 1 species